rnacentral:rRNA from 1 species
AACGAACGCUGGCGGCAGGCCUAAUACAUGCAAGUCGAGCGCGCCCUUCGGGGUGAGCGGCGGACGGGUGUGUAACGCGUGGGAAUAUGCCCUUCUCUAAGGAAUAGCCUCUGGAAACGGAGAGUAAUACCUUAUACGCCCUUUGGGGGAAAGAUUUAUCGGAGAAGGAUUAGCCCGCGUUAGAUUAGGUAGUUGGUGGGGUAAUGGCCUACCAAGCCUACGAUCUAUAGCUGGUUUGAGAGGAUGAUCAGCCACACUGGGACUGAGACACGGCCCAGACUCCUACGGGAGGCAGCAGUAGGGAAUCUUAGACAAUGGGGGCAACCCUGAUCUAGCCAUGCCGCGUGUGUGAUGAAGGCCCUAGGGUCGUAAAGCACUUUCGCCAGAGAUGAUAAUGACAGUAACCAGAGAAGAAGCCCCGGCUAACUUCGUGCCAGCAGCCGCGGUAAUACGAAGGGGGCGAGCGUUGUUCGGAAUUACUGGGCGUAAAGGGCGCGUAGGCGGUCUUUUAAGUUAGGCGUGAAAGCCCCGGGCUCAACCCGGGAACUGCGCUUAAGACUGGAAGACUAGAAAACGGAAGAGGGUAGUGGAAUUCCCAGUGUAGAGGUGAAAUUCGUA